rnacentral:lncRNA from 1 species
GAAACUUACAAAUGUAAAUAAAAUGUAAAUAGGAAAUGACUUGGUCUAGUACUAAGUCAGUGUUGGAUGACCAUCUUCUCCAUUUACUUUGUUUAAUUGCAAAAGGUAUUAUUUCCAGCAGUGAGACCUUUUUUCACCAUAGAUAAGUUAUUGUUGUUUCUCUCAAUAAUCUGUCGAUUGGCAUGUAAAGUUGACCAAUGGAUAUGGUGGAUGGCGUGACAUCGUUGUCAAUUGCAGAGGAGGAGGAUGGGGGCUGGGACUUAACUAAACUUGUCCCUUAAUAGCAAGAGUGGUAUGACCUCUGUUUGGUAGGAAGACUCUUGACGAAAGCGGCUAUAAAGUUUGAAUCGAUGAAGAAUACACUGGCAGAUCUGUGGAGGCCCAUAGGGGGAGUAAAUAUUAUAAAUCUUAUCUGUGGCCAUUACUUAUACAAAUUGUUUUGCAAAGUGGAUUUACAAAGAAUGCUUAAUAGAGGGCCAUGGUUGGAUGCACGAAUAGUUGGAUGCACGAAUAGUUGG